AUGGGCGGAAUGUCUUUUGAUGUGCCUCCUCGCACACAUUCCCAUGAAGAUGCCGUUGAAGAUCUUGCCAACACCGUCGGAGCUUCACGUGAUGCGGUGCGCGAUGAGGAGAGGGAGGAAGAUUCAUCUUCGGAGGCGGAAGAAUCGUCUUUUGAAGAUGAGGACGAGGACGAAGACGAGGACGAGGAUGAGGAAUGA
rnacentral:rRNA from 1 species